AAAUUGAAGAGUUUGAUCAUGGCUCAGAUUGAACGCUGGCGGCAGGCCUAACACAUGCAAGUCGAACGGUAACAGAAAGCAGCUUGCUGCUUUGCUGACGAGUGGCGGACGGGUGAGUAAUGUCUGGGAAACUGCCUGAUGGAGGGGGAUAACUACUGGAAACGGUAGCUAAUACCGCAUAACGUCGCAAGACCAAAGAGGGGGACCUUCGGGCCUCUUGCCAUCGGAUGUGCCCAGAUGGGAUUAGCUUGUUGGUGGGGUAACGGCUCACCAAGGCGACGAUCCCUAGCUGGUCUGAGAGGAUGACCAGCCACACUGGAACUGAGACACGGUCCAGACUCCUACGGGAGGCAGCAGUGGGGAAUAUUGCACAAUGGGCGCAAGCCUGAUGCAGCCAUGCCGCGUGUAUGAAGAAGGCCUUCGGGUUGUAAAGUACUUUCAGCGGGGAGGAAGGG
rnacentral:rRNA from 1 species